AACGAACGCUGGCGGCAUGCCUAACACAUGCAAGUCGAACGAGACCUUCGGGUCUAGUGGCGCACGGGUGCGUAACGCGUGGGAACCUGCCCUUAGGUUCGGAAUAACUCCCCGAAAGGGGUGCUAAUACCGGAUAAGGUCUUCGGACCAAAGAUUUAUCGCCUUUGGAGGGGCACGCGUUGGAUUAGCUAGUUGGUAGGGUAAAAGCCUACCAAGGCGACGAUCCAUAGCUGGUCUGAGAGGAUGAUCAGCCACACUGGGACUGAGACACGGCCCAGACUCCUACGGGAGGCAGCAGUGGGGAAUAUUGGACCAUGGGCGAAAGCCUGAUCCUGCUAUGCCGCGUGAGUGAUGAAGGCCUUAGGGUUGUAAAGCUCUUUUACCCGGGAUGAUAAUGACAGUACCGGGAGAAUAAGCUCCGGCUAACUCCGUG
rnacentral:rRNA from 1 species